rnacentral:rRNA from 1 species
AUUGAACGCUGGCGGCAGGCCUAACACAUGCAAGUCGAGCGGAGCGGCGGACGGGCGAGUAAUGCCUAUGAAUCUGACUGGUAGCGGGGGAGAACGUACGGAAACGGGCGCUAAUACCGCAUACUAUCAGACGAGCCUAGGGAGGAUUAGCUAGUUGGUGGGGUAAAGGCUAACCAAGGCGACGAUCCGUAACUGGUUUGAGAGGAUGAUCAGGCACACGGGAAGUGAGACACGGUCCAGACUCCUACGGGAGGCAGCAGUGGGGAAUAUUGCACAAUGGGCGCAAGCCUGAUCCAGCCAUGCCGCGUGUAUGAAGAAGGUCUUCGGAUUGUAAAGCACUUUCAGUCGGGAGGCGUUACCGACAGAAUAAGCACCGGCUAACUACGUGCCAGCAGCCGCGGUAAUAC